GUCCACGCCGUAAACGAUGCCGGCUCGUUCUCUGGGGAGGUUCACUCCCUGGGGGGCUUAGCUUACGCGGUAAGCCGGCCGCCUGGGAACUACGGGCGCAAGCCUAAAACUCAAAGGAAUUGACGGGGGCCCGCACAAGCAGCGGAGCGUGUGGUUUAAUUCGACGCAACGCGAACCACCUUACCCAGGCUUGACAUGCCACUGCAAGCGCCUGAAAGGGCGUCGCCUGCGAGGGUGUGGCACAGGUGCUGCAUGGUUGUCGU
rnacentral:rRNA from 1 species